rnacentral:snoRNA from 1 species
GGGUGCCGGUGAUGAUUAAAGAGUUAGCAUGGUGAAUUCGAUGAAUUCGCUCACGUGCCACUGGGUGCGCAGCUGUGGUGAUAUGCAUUCUUACGCAGAGGCAUGC